rnacentral:misc_RNA from 1 species
AUGAGAUGGACCUCUGGGUCCGUCAUCCCUCAAACCCGUGGAAGCGAGACGUGCUUCGGCGCCUCUGGGAGUCGAAUCUAUGCGGUUUAGCUUGUGUCUGAACAAAAGCGAAAAUUUUA